rnacentral:rRNA from 1 species
GACGAACGCUGGCGGCGUGCCUAAUACAUGCAAGUAGAACGCACAGUUUAUACCGUAGCUUGCUACACCAUAGACUGUGAGUUGCGAACGGGUGAGUAACGCGUAGGUAACCUGCCUGGUAGCGGGGGAUAACUAUUGGAAACGAUAGCUAAUACCGCAUAAUAUUAAUUAUUGCAUGAUAAUUAAUUGAAAGGUGCAAUUGCACCACUACCAGAUGGACCUGCGUUGUAUUAGCUAGUAGGUGAGGUAACGGCUCACCUAGGCGACGAUACAUAGCCGACAUGAGAGGGUGAUCGGCCACACUGGGACGGAGACACGGCCCAGACUCCUACGGGAGGCAGCAGUAGGGAAUCUUGGGCAAUGGACGAAAGUCUGACCGAGAAACGCGGCGUGAGGGAAGAAGGUUUUCGGAUCGUAAAGCUCGGUUGUAAGAGAAGAACGGGUGUGAGAGUGGAAAGUUCACACUGUGACGGUAUCUUACCAGAAAGGGACGGCUAACUACGUG